rnacentral:rRNA from 1 species
GGUUUCCCACCCAGCACUCAACUGAGCUUGUCAGGCCAAUCCACUUAAGGGGAGAUUGGCACGCUCAGUUGAGUGCUGGGGUAAGACCCCUGGAAGACUACCAGGUAGAUAGGCCGGGAGUGUAAGGGGGGCAACCCUUUUAGCGGACCGGUACUAAUCGGUCGAGGGCUUGACCAUAA